rnacentral:rRNA from 1 species
GUGACCUCAAAUCAGGUAGGACUACCCGCUGAACUUAAGCAUAUCAAUAAGCGGAGGAAAAGAAACUAACAAGGAUUCCCCUAGUAACUGCGAGUGAAGCGGGAAAAGCUCAAAUUUAAAAUCUGGCAGCCUUUGGCUGUCCGAGUUGUAAUCUAGAGAAGUGCUAUCCGCGCUGGACCGUGUACAAGUCUCCUGGAAUGGAGCGUCAUAGAGGGUGAGAAUCCCGUCUUUGACACGGACUACCAGGGCUUUGUGAUGUGCUCUCAAAGAGUCGAGUUGUUUGGGAAUGCAGCUCAAAAUGGGUGGUAAAUUCCAUCUAAAGCUAAAUAUUGGCGAGAGACCGAUAGCGAACAAGUACCGUGAGGGAAAGAUGAAAAGAACUUUGGAAAGAGAGUUAAACAGUACGUGAAAUUGCUGAAAGGGAAACGCUUGAAGUCAGUCGCGUUGUCCAGGGAUCAACCUUGCUUUUGCUUGGUGCACUUYCUGGUUGACGGGUCAGCAUCAAUUUUGACUGUUGGAAAAAGAUCAAGGGAAUGUGGCAUCUCUGGAUGUGUUAUAGCCCUUGGUUGCAUACAAUGGUUGGGAUUGAGGAACUCAGCACGCCGCAAGGCCGGGUUU